UACAGAGGGGGCAAGCGUUAUUCGGAAUUAUUGGGCGUAAAGGGCGCGUAGGCGGCUAUUCAAGUGGCGGGUGAAAUCCCCCGGCUUAACCGAGGAACUGCCUGCCAGACUGGAUGGCUUGAGACCGGGAGAGGUGAGUGGAAUUCCCAGUGUAGCGGUGAAAUGCGUAGAUAUUGGGAGGAACACCAGUGGCGAAGGCGGCUCACUGGACCGGUACUGACGCUGAGGCGCGAAAGCGUGGGGAGCAAACAGG
rnacentral:rRNA from 1 species